rnacentral:tRNA from 1 species
GCCUGGCUAGCUCAGUAGGUAGAGCAUGAGACUCUUAAUCUCAGGAUUGUAGGUUCAAAUCCCAUGUUGGGUG